UACGGAGGGUGCAAGCGUUGUCCGGAUUUAUUGGGUUUAAAGGGUGCGUAGGCGGCGGUCUAAGUCAGUGGUGAAAUACUGCAGCUCAACUGUAGAAUUGCCAUUGAUACUGGAUUGCUUGAGUACAGAUGAGGUAGGCGGAAUUGAUGGUGUAGCGGUGAAAUGCAUAGAUACCAUCAAGAACACCGAUUGCGAAGGCAGCUUACUAAGCUGUAACUGACGCUGAGGCACGAAAGCGUGGGGAUCGAACAGG
rnacentral:rRNA from 1 species